GCCGUCCAGCAAACUGGUAACACCCACAGGCGAAGACAAAUCGAGUUGCGGGAUUACGGGUUCGGCCGAUGGCGCAAGCCUUCGUCGGGCCCCUCCAUCCCAGGGUGUCCCGGUACGGGUGCUUGCACCCAGCGGACAUCCCCGGAGUGCGUAUGAUGUGACCCGAAAGAUGGUGAACUAUGCCUGAUCAGGUCGAAGUCAGGGGAAACCCUGAUGGAGGACCGAAGCAAUUCUGACGUGCAAAUCGAUUGUCAGAGUUGGGCAUAGGGGCGAAAGACCAAUCGAA
rnacentral:rRNA from 1 species